CAAUAAGCGGAGGAAAAGAAACUAACAAGGAUUCCCCUAGUAACUGCGAGUGAAGCGGGAAAAGCUCAAAUUUAAAAUCUGGUGGUCUUUGGCCAUCCGAGUUGUAAUUUAGAGAAGCGUCUUCCGCGCUGGGCCGUGCACAAGUCUCCUGGAAUGGAGCGUCAUAGAGGGUGAGAAUCCCGUCUUUGGCACGGACCCCCAGGGCUUCUGUGAUGCGCUCUCGACGAGUCGAGUUGUUUGGGAAUGCAGCUCAAAAUGGGUGGUGAACUCCAUCUAAAGCUAAAUAUUGGCGAGAGACCGAUAGCGAACAAGUACCGUGAGGGAAAGAUGAAAAGCACUUUGGAAAGAGAGUGAAACAGUACGUGAAAUUGUUGAAAGGGAAACGCUUGAAGUCAGUCGCGUCGACCGAGACUCAGCCUUGCCUCGGCUUGGUGUACUUCUCGGUUUGACGGGUCAGCAUCAAUUUUGAUCCUUGGAUAAUGGCAAGGGAAAGGUAGCACCUUUUCAGGUGUGUUAUAGUCCUCUGUCGCAUGCGAGGGUCAGGAUUGAGGAACUCAGCAUGCACCUUCGGGUGUCGGGGCCUUGGCCCACGCUACGUGCUUAGGAUGCUGGCAUAAUGGCUUUAAACGACCCGUCUUGAAA
rnacentral:rRNA from 1 species